GAUGAACGCUAGCGGCAGGCUUAACACAUGCAAGUCGAGGGGCAGCACGGGUAGCAAUACCUGGUGGCGACCGGCGCAAGGGUGCGUAACGCGUGAGCAACAUGCCCUAUACAGGGGGAUAAUCCAGGGAAACUUGGUCUAAUAUCCCAUAGCAUUUAGAGGAGGCAUCUUCACUAAAUUAAAGCUUCGGUGGUAUAGGAUUGGCUCGCGUGACAUUAGCUAGAUGGUGAGGUAACGGCCCACCAUGGCUAUGAUGUCUAGGGGUUCUGAGAGGAAGACCCCCCACACUGGGACUGAGACACGGCCCAGACUCCUACGGGAGGCAGCAGUGAGGAAUAUUGGACAAGUGGAUGGAAAUCUGAUCCAGCCAUGCCGCGUGCAGGAAGACGGCCCUAUGGGUGUAAACUGCUUUUAUAUGGGAGCAAUAAGGUUUACGAGUAGACCGAUGAGAGUACCAUAUGAAUAAGCAUCGGCUAAC
rnacentral:rRNA from 1 species